CCCUUAGAUGUUCUGGGCCGCACGCGCGCUACACUGAUGCAUUCAACGAGCCUAUCCUUGACCGACAGGUCCGGGUAAUCUUUGAAUCUGCAUCGUGACGGGGAUAGAUUAUUGCAAUUAUUAAUCUUCAACGAGGAAUGCCUAGUAGGCGCAAGUCAUCAGCUUGCGUCGAUUACGUCCCUGCCCUUUGUACACACCGCCCGUCGCUCCUACCGAUUGGGUGUGCUGGUGAAAUGUUCGGAUCGGCCGUUUGUCGCGGUUUCCGCGUCAUGUGGCUGAGAGGUUCAUUAAACCCUCCCACCUAGAGGAAGGAGAAGUCGUAACA
rnacentral:rRNA from 1 species